AUCCAGCUAAUGAGUUCUAAAUAGAACGAAACGCGAGUCCAAGAU
rnacentral:hammerhead_ribozyme from 1 species